GCUGGGCGUGGUGGCGGACGCCUGUAAUCCCAACUACUCGGGAGGCUGAGGCAGGAGAAUCGCUUGAACGCGGGAGGCGGAGGUUGCAGUGAGCUGAGAUCGCACCAUUGCACUCCAGCCUGGGUGACAGAGCGAGACUCUGUCUCAA
ensembl:misc_RNA Metazoa_SRP Metazoan signal recognition particle RNA